rnacentral:pre_miRNA from 1 species
AAAUUACUCCCUCCAUUCGGAAUUACUUGUCACAAAAAUGGAUGUAUCUAUAACUAAAAUACAUCUAGACACAUUCAUUUCUUCGACAAGUAAUUCCGAACGGAGGGAGUACAAU